UUUCCGUAGGUGAACCUGCGGAAGGAUCAUUCAUAAUAAGUGUUUUACGGCACUUUUUUAAAUCCAUAUCCACCUUGUGUGCAAUGUCAGGGUUGGUCUCUUUUUGAUCAGCCCCAAACAUCAACUAUUAUCUCAACUCUUUGUCUGAAAAAUAUUAUGAAUAAAACAAUUCAAAAUACAACUUUCAACAACGGAUCUCUUGGCUCUC
rnacentral:misc_RNA from 1 species